UAAGGCCUGGCUGAACAAGUGCCUAAGGAUUGCUUAUCCUUAAGGAAGAAAAGUCUCUGAGCCAAAACUAACAAACAUGGCUUCUCAAGCGGAACAAUGGUCCAGAAAACUCAGCAAAAAGGAAAAUAAACUUCAUUGGCAGUUUGUUUUUGACUGUUAAGAGCCCAGCUACAACUCUAUCAAGAUUUUUAAGAAGGUCUAAAGAAAAAAAAAGUCAUGUCAAGCCAAUAUUAGGACUCACAUCUUCUAAUUUCUAGAUUCCUGAAUAUGGUGGAUAUAUUCCUAAUUUUGACAUCAGUCUCUGCUAACUAGACAAGCAGAAAAAUUGGACCAUUCUGUUUAAACUUAAAGCAAAAUAUCCUUAAGGUGUCACACAAAAAAAGUUCUCAAGAGACUGAUAAAGAAGAGUUAUUUUCAUCUCAAAAUGAGAAAGCAUGGAAGAAUGACUAUUUAUAACAGAUUUGCUAUCAAUAUGACUUGCCCCUUUCUUUUUCUAAUUGUUUAUGUAGCUUGUCUUUCUAUAGUUUAGAGAAUUCAUGGAAUAAUCACCAUUUCUUUGCCUGGUUUCUUUGCCAAUAAUCAUUGAUAAAGGCAUCUAAGGGUGUUUACACUGGCCCUAGGAGAAUAAAAUACCUACUCUGAUAUAUUUUUAGUUUAAUAUUUUUCCCAAUGUACUCAUCUUAAAAUAAAAAUAAAAUGAUUUUACUUCUG